UACGUAGGGAGCAAGCGUUGUCCGGAAUUAUUGGGCGUAAAGAGCUCGUAGGCGGUCAGUCGCGUCUGCUGUGAAAACUCGGGGCUUAACUCCGGGCCUGCAGUGGGUACGGGCUGACUAGAGUGCGGUAGGGGAGACUGGAAUUCCUGGUGUAGCGGUGAAAUGCGCAGAUAUCAGGAGGAACACCGGUGGCGAAGGCGGGUCUCUGGGCCGUAACUGACGCUGAGGAGCGAAAGCGUGGGGAGCGAACAGG
rnacentral:rRNA from 1 species